AUGCUGGCGUGUCAUUGCGCCGGGCUGGCCGAGGAGGACACGGUGGAGCUGGGGAUGGAGGUGACAUCACACAACCUCACCCUCUCGGGGGCAGAGUACGAAAUCCUGCUGACAGCGGCCAACGCCGCCGGGACGGGGCCAGCACAGAAGGUCCAUGUGCCAGCAGAGCAGCACGCAGAUCUCAGCUUCGAGGACAUCAGCGUGGCCGGCGACACCCUGACGGCGCGGUGGGAAGCCCCGAGCCCUGGCUCCUUCUACUGCUUCGAGCAGCAGCCGUGGGGGCAGAGAGCCCCAAAACGGGGGCAGAGAGCCUCAAAACGGGGCGUUUGCACCCAACGGGACUUCCCUGCCAAGAGCAUCCACGUGGAGACAGGCGAGGGAGCGCUCCGAGCCCCCCAACUCAUCCUGCCCAAGCCCGUGGGCACCAAAGCCAUCCAGUUCUCCACCGGUGACACGAAUCAGGUGAGACACAAGGGGCAGGAGGGGCCGGAUCCUGCCCCCCAGCAGGUGCCCACGUGUUACCUCCUGGCCGUGCACGGCUGGUCCCUGGCACGGGGCUGGUCCACCUUCGCCCUGCAGCAUCGCUACGUCAGCAACGACUCGCUGGACGUCAACGUCAACGCCAGCGCCGGAGAUGCCACCAUCACCCUCCAGUGGAGCCCGUCCCCUCGUGCCACCUGCCCCGGGGCUCUGGCCAAAUAUCUCAUCUGCCACGCUGCCAAAGGGGACAAUGUGACCUAUGCCGAAGCCGAUGCCGCAGCCUCGAGUUUCACCCUCCAAAACCUCCGGCCGGGCACAACCUACAGCCUGGGCGUUUGGGAGGUGCCAACUGAGAGCAGGGGGACCUGCAACGCUUGGUGGCACUUCCAGACCAAGGCGCUGGGUAAUGACCGGAGACCCCGUCCCCUCCCCACGGGUUACUCACCCUCACCCCAAAACAGCUCCGGUGUCCCAAGCCGGGUGCUGGGGACAGAAAUGCCACCACCCAGCCAUGCCCGUCCCCAGGAACAGUGUGGAAAUCCAACUUGACCUUCCUGGGCAUCUUGCUUGCUCUCCCUGCCGUGGUCAUCAUCUACCAGCUGAGCAAAAAGAGGUGACAG
rnacentral:lncRNA from 1 species